rnacentral:piRNA from 1 species
AACACAGUCUGGCAGUGCCUAAG